rnacentral:rRNA from 1 species
GAUGAACGCUAGCGGCGUGCUUAACACAUGCAAGUCGAACGAAGCACUUAAGAUUGAUUCUUCGGAUGACGUCUUUUGUGACUUAGUGGCGGACGGGUGAGUAACGCGUGGGUAACCUGCCUCACACAGGGGGAUAACAGUUAGAAAUGACUGCUAAUACCGCAUAACCCGAUAGGAUCGCAUGAUCCAGACGGAAAAGAUUUAUCGGUGUGAGAUGGACCCGCGUCUGAUUAGCUAGUUGGUGAGGUAACGGCCCACCAAGGCGACGAUCAGUAGCCGGCCUGAGAGGGUGAACGGCCACAUUGGGACUGAGACACGGCCCAAACUCCUACGGGAGGCAGCAGUGGGGAAUAUUGCACAAUGGGGGAAACCCUGAUGCAGCGACGCCGCGUGAGUGAAGAAGUAUUUCGGUAUGUAAAGCUCUAUCAGCAGGGAAGAAAAUGACGGUACCUGACGAAGAAGCCCCGGCUAACUACGUG